rnacentral:rRNA from 1 species
GAGUUUGAUCCUGGCUCACAACGAACGCUGGCGGCGCGCCUAACACAUGCAAGUCGAACGCGAAAGUGUAGCAAUACAUGAGUAAAGUGGCGCACGGGUGAGUAACACGUAGGUGAUCUACCUUUGUGACCGGAAUAACCAGUCGAAAGAUUGGCUAAUACUGGAUAGAGCGCAAACGGCGUAAAGCCGUAUGCGGGAAAAGGGGGCGUAGCAAUACGCUUUUGCACUAAGAUGAGCCUGCGUCCCAUCAGCUAGUUGGUAGGGUAACGGCCUACCAAGGCAUUGACGGGUAGCUGGUCUGAGAGGACGAUCAGCCACACUGGAACUGAAACACGGUCCAGACUCCUACGGGAGGCAGCAGUGGGGAAUCUUGCGCAAUGGGCGAAAGCCUGACGCAGCGACGCCGCGUGAGUGAAGAAGGCCUUCGGGUUGUAAAGCUCUGUCGAGCGGGAAAAACGGCCCACCGGACUAAUAAGACGGUGGCGUGAUGGUACCGCUAAAGGAAGCACCGGCUAACUUCGUGCCCAGCAGCCCGCGGUAAAUACGAGGGGUGCAAGCGUUGUUCGGAAUUAUUGGGCGUAAAGGGCAGGUAGGUGGUCU